UACAGAGGUCUCAAGCGUUGUUCGGAUUCAUUGGGCGUAAAGGGUGCGUAGGUGGGUUGGUAAGUCAGUGGUGAAAUCUCCGAGCUUAACUUGGAAACUGCCGUUGAUACUAUCAAUCUUGAAUAUCGCGUAGGUAAGCGGAAUAUGUCAUGUAGCGGUGAAAUGCUUAGAUAUGACAUAGAACACCAAUUGCGAAGGCAGCUUACUUCACGAUCAUUGACACUGAGGCACGAAAGCGUGGGGAGCAAACAGG
rnacentral:rRNA from 1 species